rnacentral:rRNA from 1 species
UGGGGAAUAUUGGACAAUGGGGGGAACCCUGAUCCAGCCAUGCCGCGUGUGUGAAGAAGGCCUUAUGGUUGUAAAGCACUUUAAGCGAGGAGGAGGCUACUGAGACUAAUACUCUUGGAUAGUGGACGUUACUCGCAGAAUAAGCACCGGCUAACUCUGUGCCAGCAGCCGCGGUAAUACAGAGGGUGCGAGCGUUAAUCGGAUUUACUGGGCGUAAAGCGCGCGUAGGCGACUUUUAAAGUCGGAUGUGAAAUCCCCGAGCUUAACCUGGGAAUUGCAUUCGAUACUGGGAAGCUAGAGUAUGGGAGAGGAUGGUAGAAUUCCAGGUGUAGCGGUGAAAUGCGUAGAGAUCUGGAGGAAUACCGAUGGCGAAGGCAGCCAUCUGGCCUAAUACUGACGCUGAGGUACGAAAGCAUGGGGAGCAAACAGGAUUAGAUACCCUGGUAGUCCAUGCCGUAAACGAUGUCUACUAGCCGUUGGGGCCCUUGAGGC